AGAAGGAGAAGGAGAAGGAGAAGGAGAAGGAGAAGGAGAAGAAGAAGAGCUCCUGUUCUCAAGCUGAGUUUCCCAAACCGCUGGGAUUACAGGGCAAAUGUUCCCCAGUACUGGAAGAGGGAGAGACACUGUUUUAGAAGUAAUCUGUCAUCUACACGGAGAGAACUUCUUAGGGAAGGGGGUGGUGAUGGAGGCCAGGACCAGCUCACCCACCCCAGGAAAGGCCCUGUAUCACUCAGCCCAUAAUUAGGGAACUCUUGGCUCUUGUCUGGUAUGGGAGGAUCUGAGCUCUCUGACAACAACAUGAAGAACUCUAGGGGAAAUGGAGUUAGAGUAGAGGUAACAAAC